CUACAGCUUAAGCCGACUGUGCUCUUUCCCCAUGGGGCCCAGUGUGCAAUGGCUGCGAACAGCAGCCUCCUUGGUAGUGUAUGCAGCCUGUUGGUUGUACAGGUUGCUCUAAGGGACCUUGGAGACGGUU
rnacentral:snoRNA from 1 species